AUUCAGCUGACGAGUCCAAAAUAUAACGAAACGCGCAUACUGGAU
rnacentral:hammerhead_ribozyme from 1 species